GCUAUUCGAACCUCGCUGUGGCAUGCAUGACAUUGGAGGCUGGUAUGUCGAAACAUAUGGUAGGGAUAAGAAGGCACGUACUGUACCAUCCCAGAGACACUGGGAUGGUUUGGAUUCAAAUGAACUGUUUGACAAGAGACUCCAUCCAGCAAUGUAUUUGCUUGCUCUUGCCUAUAGAAGUCUAGAUAUUGAAGAUGCAAGGAGAAGGAAGAAAACCGUGAAGGAUAUUAUUGAAACUAAAAUGUUUAGAAUUCUCAGCUGGUGCAAGAAACUAGCCUAAAAAAGUUGCCUAAGGCUUUCUCAAGUUGGAACUCGGAAGUGCCCAUAUCCAGAAUCGUCAUUGCAUCAUGCCUGAUGUUUAGUAGACUGGUCUUCCAUCAGCAGCUUCUGCAGCAGCUGCUGCUAGAUCAUCAUCAUCUAUGACUUCUACCGGCAACCGAAAUAAUUCCUCUUUCCUAUGAUUUUCUCGUGGAAAUUUUAUACAGAGGCAAGGUUUAACUGAAAGCUAGAAGAUUACGACAAUCGGAACUCAGACAGGCAUUUUCUCACUGCUCAACAAGUUAUGGAAAAAACUUACCG